rnacentral:rRNA from 1 species
UACGUAGGGUGCAAGCGUUAAUCGGAAUUACUGGGCGUAAAGCGUGCGCAGGCGGUUUUGUAAGUCUGACGUGAAAUCCCCGGGCUCAACCUGGGAAUUGCGUUGGAGACUGCAAGGCUGGAGUCUGGCAGAGGGGGGUAGAAUUCCACGUGUAGCAGUGAAAUGCGUAGAGAUGUGGAGGAACACCGAUGGCGAAGGCAGCCCCCUGGGUCAAGAUUGACGCUCAUGCACGAAAGCGUGGGGAGCAAACGAGG